rnacentral:rRNA from 1 species
AGAGUUUGAUCAUGGCUCAGGACGAACGCUUGCGGCGUGCCUAAGAAAUGCAAGUCGAACGGACAUUCCAGCAAUGGGGUGUUAGUGGCGAACGGUCGCGUAACACGUAAGCAACCUGCCCGGAAGUGGGGGACAACAGCCCGAAAGGGCUGCUAAUACCGCAUGUGGUCAAGUCUCGGCAUCGUGACUUGUCUAAAGCCUUGUGCGCUUCCGGAUGGGCUUGCGGCCUAUCAGCUUGUUGGUGGGGUAACGGCCUACCAAGGCGUUGACGGGUAGCUGGUCUGAGAGGACGAUCAGCCGGAUUGGGACUGAGAUACGGCCCAGACUCCUACGGGGGGCAGCAAUUAGGAAUCUUGCGCAAUGGGGGCAACCCUGACGCAGCGACGCCGCGUGGAGGACGAAGGCAUUCGUGUCGUAAACUCCUUUUGGCAGGGAAGAAGGAUGUGACGGUACCUGUCGAAUAAGCCCCGGCUAACUACGUGCCAGCAGCCGCGGUAAUACGUAGGGGGCGAGCGUUGUCCGAAGUUACUGGGCGUAAAGCGCGCGUAGGCGGCCAUUUAAGUCUGGGGUGAAAGGUUCAGCGCUCAACGCGAACAGUGCCUUGGAUACUGGGUGGCUUGAGUUCGGGAGGGGGCAGUGGAAUUCCUGGUGUAGCGGUGAAAUGCGUAGAUAUCAGGAGGAACACCGGUGGCGAAGGCGGCUGCCUGGCCCAGAACUGACGCUGAGGUGCGAAAGCGUGGGGAGCGAACGGGAUUAGAUACCCCGGUAGUCC